rnacentral:lncRNA from 1 species
CUUUUUGUUUUGCCAUUUGAUCAAGUCACAAAACGAAAAAAAAAGUAGAAAAAAAGUAGGCCAUGCACAAAACUAUGCUAAUUAUUAAUCUUAAAGACCAAAAUCCAUUGGGACACAGGUGUCUAACUUAAUUAGUGAUGAAAAAUGGGUGGGAAAUACUUAAAGUAACUGAAAUAGUCUAAUGGUGGAACUGGAAAGAGAGUGUGUGCUUAAUGCUGAUGUUGCAGUUGUGACAGCAUGGCUGAAAAUCUAUUCAAUUGAGACUAACUGUAACAUAAAAAUAAAAAAACAUGAUCACUCUGACAAAUAAACGGCAUCCAUUGGUCGCAUGACAAGGUAGCCCAGCUGGCGGAAGGAUCCGGAACGAUUCGAACAUGAAGGCACUGAUCGCUACCAACGCCGCUAGCAUUGCUGGGCUCUCCAUAAAACCAAUUGACGAAAGUGAACGGAGUCUGUGCAGUCCACGAGAAAGUUUUCGUUCCCGUGUUGUAGUUACCCGACGUCCAGACGCCUAUCUUCGAUGCGAUAGCAUCUAUACCACAUCACACAAUUGAUCGUUGCAUUUCAACCACUGGUUCGUCCGAUCCUGCUUGGUCCACCUUCACUGCAUACUGUUCACUAGCUUGCACUGCAUUCACGAAUUGUGUGGUUAGAAAUGAAUAGUGGAAUAGAAAUUGGAAUCUUACCUUUGAACAAGACCAAACCGAAGAUGUAAACCAAUUGUAUUGGGAAAUUAAAUGAGCGCAUUGUCAGAAUAUGGACGUACUUCUUGACGGAGUGGAUGUGUUCUUCGAUCUGAAGGUAUAACAUGAACAUCUUCAUGGCGAAAUAUCUUCCUGUAAAAUGAAACCAGUGAAAUGAGUCUGGUUGUCUGAAUCGUCAAACAGUUCGACUCCCUUCGGAGAAAGGGUAACCGGGACGAUGUGAUCCUCCGGUGGGUUGCCAUCACGUACGAAACUUAACCCGACUGCAUUGCCGUUUAGGAAAAGACUUACUCCAAGCUUAGACGGAGAUGGUGGGAAGAUCGCCACUCCGGUGAAGGAAAAGAAAUAAGUUCCGUCACGAGGGGUCGUGAAAAUUCCCGUUGAUUUAUCCAUGGCAUCUCCAGUGUUCACCACUUCAAUUUCGUAAGGAAUCGGAGUAUUCAUCGUGGAGAAUCCGGUAUUUUUCUGGACGUAAAAGUAAGUUGGUGUUGAUUUCACGUCCUCGUAACCAAUCCAUUUCUGAAAAUCUAUUUAGACGGCACCGUUUUUUAAGUAACACUUGGAAACAAUAGAAUCGGCAAUUCUUUUUACCCGCUCCGUUGGGUUGUUUGGUGAAAUCGCAGUAAACAGUUUCGAUUUGCUUUUUCCCCAUUACGGAAUAUAAUCCGCUUUUCCUAUGUCCAAUAUCCAUUAGAUCUUUACACGAAUUGGGGAUUCUAUCAAUCGAUGCGGCACUUGUACCCGCUGCCAAUGAGCAAACGGAGAUUCAAAUAGUGUUUCAAUAAUUGGAUUGUUUUAUUCACGUCAAGCAGUUUCAUUACAUAAUGUAAUAAGUUUCCAUUUUAAAAUUUAGAUAGUUUUACCGUCCAACUUGGUUGCAAGAGUCCCGAUUUGCGUUUUGGUUUCAGAUGAGCUUAGUGAAGUCACUGCAAAAUAUUAAAUAAUUCUUUUGUAAUUUCCUGGUUUUGGUUGAGAAAAUUUAUUACCUUGCAAAUCAGUUUUUAUGACAUCAACCUCAGUCUUGGUGUCCGUCAGAUCUUUCAUUGUAGCUGCAACCAUGGACAAAUGAGUUAAAUUGCUUCCGCUUUUUCAAUUAUUUCUUGAAUGUUGAGAAAUUAGUUACCGUUCAAAUUGGUGCCAAGGCUCUCCAGUUUGGAUUUUGUUUCUCUGGACCGUUUCGCAACUUCUUGAAAUCAGGAAGAAAAUUGUUCCAUUUUAAUAAUAUUUUCCGUGCCCAUUUUUAUCGCAUACCUUCUAGUUUCUCCUUGAUAGCCUCAAUGGCCUUGACGUCAUAAUUCGUGCCAUCUUUUCUGAUAGACACUGCCAUUCCAAGAGUUGCGUCUGAAAAGCAAAGAAUAUUAGUUUAAACAAAAUUGUUGAAUAAUAAUUUAAUUUCACUUUUCAAGUCCAUAUUCAUAGCCUCAAGUUUGGUCUUCGUGUCUGUCAAGUCUUUCGUAGUUCUCUCCAGUGUUUGGGUGGUGCCUGGAAUGAAAUAGAGUAGAUUCCAUUUAAUUUUCUUUUGUAAAAUAGUUCAUCAAUUUAAAGAUUAUUACCAAACAGGAUGGUAUUCAGAUCCUCAACUUUUGUGUUGGUUUUUGUUAAAUUCUUGGCAGUUUCUGCGUGAAAGUAUUUUUUUUUAAUCUUUUCAGAUUUUUGUUUAAACGAAGAAUGGAAUAUUACCGCUUAGUUUUGUCAUUAGCUCUCCUAAUUGAACCUUCGUUUCAGCUGAUCCCUUCGAUGUUGCUACAAGAUUACGAUGCGCGGUUAUACGAUUGUCUUCGGCGCCAAUUCGAAUUAUUAAUUAUCUUACCUUGCAAAUCUGUUUUGAUACCGCGAACUUCGGUCUUCGUAUCCGCUAAAUCUUUCGAAGUGGCUGCCAAAUUUUGAAGAGUACCUACGGAUUAAAAGUUACUUAAUUUCCGCGACCAAUUUUCAAUAAUUAAUUUCUCACACCUUCCAAUUCGGUACUCAAAUUGACAAUUUUCGUCUUGGUGUCGGCCACGUCCUUUGUUGUUCCAGUCAACCGCCUGAUUGUAUCUGCGCAUCACAUUCCACGUUUGUGUUCUCAAGUUUUCCCUUGGUGACGUUCAGAUCUUUCGUAGUUUCGUCGAGACAUCGGGUAGUGACUGCAGAUCACGUUUUGCCAUCAAAUCGCCGACUUUGACCUUCGUUUCAGCUGAACCUUGAGAUGUUGCUAUACACGUCAUCGUCGUAAACGCCUUUGAGUUACUGCAGCCUCGCGUACCGUCCAACUGUGCUGUCAGGUCAUCAACUCUCGUCUUGGUGUCCGCCAAAUCCUUUGUCGUAGCUGUCAACCAAUUGCUGGUACCUGCGCAUCGCAAAAAAAGUUCUCAACGGUGAUCUCGAGAAGUUCCAUUCUGGCAAUGAGACCUCGAGUGAAAAUAUUGCGGACUUGAGGCUGUUCAUCAGCUUUUUGUGAAGACCGGAAGCUGGCAACCGUCUGGGUCCCUUUAUUCUUGUUCGAGUGAGCAGCAGGCGCCAGUGAAAAGAUAACAUUAUUUUAUUUUGUUAGAGUCGGCGAAAGAAAAUUCGAGGAAUUAUACGGGUUUAAAGGAAUUCCGAAUUUGAGUAUAUUUAGAAAAUUUACUUGGCACUAUUCAUAAAGUUGUAGGACAACACUGGAAUUUCAGGCUCAGUCAGUCCCAGUCUAAUCAAAGUUGAGUGAUGGAGCCUGAUAAUACAUCUGAGAUUGAACUUGGAAUUUGGAUACACUGAAGUUGUUUAACGAAGUUUUUGUUAUUAAGAGUCGAUUGCAGAGUUCCUGGACUGAGAACGCUGGUAAAACUGACGACAUUAGCCUCGUUGAUCUGCGCAGUCCCGAUCAGAUUUCCGUUCAGCAACAAUUGCACUUGCAUGUAAUUGAAAGCUGAGCCAGAAGCAGGAUAAUUCGCCAAUCCAGCGAAGGUAUAGAAAUAAGUCGCUUUAACGGGUGCCGUAAAUUUCCCAGUUACUAUAUCCAUGGCGCUUCCGGCGUUCAGCGUUUCAAUUUCAAACGGAAUCGGGGUAUUCAUUGUCGAGAAUGUCAUGAUUUUCUGCACGUAAAAUUAGACUGGCGUCGAUUUGACGUCUUCGUAGCCGAUCCAUUGCUGGAAACUUUAUAAUAAAAUUACAAUUUGAAUUAUUCAGGAGAUUAAAGGAACUGAUGAUUACCUAGUCCAUCUGAUGGUUGUGUGAAGUCGCAGUUAACAGUUUCAACUUGUGAACUUCCCAUUACGGAAUAGAGUCCGCUUUUCCUGUAUCCAAUAGCUUUCAAUUCGGCACAGGAGCUGGGAAUUUUUCCGAUGGACGUUGGGUCAUCUGCUGAACAAGAGCAUCUAAACGCUGCGACGUUCGAUUGUGGCCUUUGUUUCUGCCGCAUUUUCUGCAAACGAAAUAAGAGGUACUAAAUUUUUACACUGUCUCGCGCCAUCACACCUUAAACCGUCCACUGCGUUUAUGAUGUCUUCCAGGCGUUGUGAAAUGGAUGCAUUUAAUAAUCGACGGAUGUAAAUGUCUUAUACGGUGAAACAAAGUAAUAACAAAUUACUCACGAUGUUUCAACUUUUUAACCCAAAGAUCGACUAUCAUAGCUAAAAACCCUCGAUAAAACAAAGUUCCCAUUCUAUUGACGGCGAGAUUAGUGAAUGGGUAAGCGCGAUUCGUGUUAACCUCUUUUUCGUGUGCGGAUGAACUGACCGCAAAAUGUUCAGGAUCAUUGGAAGAACUCCAAUCGACCAGUAACUGAGACGAAACGACAAAGUUGUCGCCUGUUUGGAUGUGCAGUGCUGAAUGAACGAUAUUCGACAAGACGGAAGGUCCUUAAUAUAUUUCAUUCUCCGUGUUCCUUUUCGGUCGACUGCCCUGGAGAAACAGCAAAUAGAUCACACCCUGCAUAGCAAAAUGUUCUUUCAUCGGUUCAGUGAUGUUUGCCUCUCCGCCGUGUUCGCGUUCUAGGGUGAAGAAGAUGGCUUUUAUCGGUACAGAUGCUGAUAUUCGAAUGAUAACAGUAGAGGAACUAUGUGACUGAGUAUCAGUGCUGGGAAUCCCCGCAC